rnacentral:lncRNA from 1 species
AUGUUACUUGUUUUUCUUCUUUUUCUUUUCGUCUGCUUCCAGUUUAAGCUUAAUAACUUCUUAAGUUGUAAGGGCUUCAAGUUUCUUAUUCUUUGCUUUCUUAACCUUUUCCUUGAUGGUAGCCACAUCAAUUUUAGUUUCAGUAGAAGCUUCCUUAGAUUUUGCAACUGGCUUUUCUUUAGGUGGAAUAAACGCUUUAUUUCUUUCCUCUUGUCUCUUACUGAGAGCUUCUGCUUGUUUAGCCUUUAUUGCUUCCAUUUUCUGUCGCUUCUUCUGAUUUGCCUUCAAAAAGUAUUCACCACUAGCCAAUUCUUUGUCAACUUUGAUAUAAUAAAUUGGAUGAAUAUUCUUCAUGGUAUCUAAAACUACUUUUCGAACCUCUUUUAAGCCACUGAAAGGUCCAAUGGCUGAAACUGUGUUUCCCUGAAUCAUAAUGUAACAGUUUGUUAAGAGUUCCAAUGCCUUCAGAGUAGAUCCUUUGGGACCAGUAAGUCGUUGUCUUUUUUUUUACAAAUCUUUCUUUAUUUCUUACUAGAGAACCUAUUUUAAUGAUGUCACACGCAACAUCAUCCUGAAGAAUUCAUACUGCCUGUUCAAAUGAAACACUUCUUGCUAACAGUUUUAUCAGAUCUCUGACCCUGAUGAUGAUGUAUGGAUCAAAAGUCUUCUUUGAAGUACAAACAGUCAUGCUGCCCUCAAUCAGGUCCAGGGUUGCAUUAAUGUGCUCCGUUCUCUUGCUUCGGUUUCUGGCUGCGAAAUUCAUUUCUCUCAGGUACUGUAGACGUCCCGUUCUUCGAGGAGGACGCCAUUUUCAAACUGCUCCUGGAUAUUGAAAUUUAAAAGUUAUGUAGGAGUACAAAGGACCUAAAAAAGUAAAAAAAAAAAGAAAAAAAAAAGAAAGGUGUUGGAAGACAUUUAGUACCUAAUUUUAAGACUUCCUCUAAAACUACAGUAAUCAAGGCAGUGUUGGCAUAAGGAAAGAGAUGUAGAUCAAUGGAAUAAAACAGAGAAUGUAGAAAUAGAACCACACAUAUAUGGUCCACUGAGUUUUGAAAGAUUAUUUAACAUUAGCAUUUUAUAGAAUAUAAACUCAAUUCAAGAGCAGAGGAAAAGAUAGUGUUUUCAGCAAAUGGUACUAGAACACCUGGUAUCCGUAUGUAAAAAAUUAACCUCAACCCUUUAUUUCCAUACAUAAAAAUAACUUGAAAGGAUCUAUGAACCUAAAUAUGAAAGACUAAAACUAUAAAACUUUAAGAAGAAAUUAUAAGGGAAAAUGGUCAUGAAUUUAAGGUGGGAAGAAUUUCCUAGGAUACACAAAACAUGAUGUAUAAAAGAAAGAAAUUGAUAA